rfam:Microdochium bolleyi strain J235TASD1 unplaced genomic scaffold Micbo1qcscaffold_25, whole genome shotgun sequence.
GGCCUGAUGGUCUAGUGGUAUGAUACUCGCUUUGGGUUCUUCCUUGCCUCCGUUUGCGAGUGGCCCCGGGUUCGAAUCCCGGUCAGGCCC